rnacentral:lncRNA from 1 species
UGGAUGCAUUUUUACAGUACAUAGAACUUUUCAUCUUAGUCCAAGCUCCAUUACAUUUCUAGUGUACAGUACUGAUUGCGGCUGUUGUGUGUGUGUGUAUGUGUGGCUACAGAAGCUCUUGGAUGAGAGGAAUACAUUAAACCUGAGAGGCAUAAAUCAGGAAGAGCCUGCAGUGCAGAGUGGAAAGAUCCACAAGUCUACUAAGAAAGCUCAUGGAACAGAGUUGGCGGGGGCUCCGUUCAUCAGCAAGCCUGGUGUCAUCCUGUUUAAGGUACCACAACUUGUGACUCCAGCACUUCCUCACCCUUGCAAGUAUAAAAACCCCUGGGAACAAGGAUGGACAGUGUUUUUAUUAUUUAGCUUUUGCUGGUAGAUUUCUGUAGCAAGUGAAUGCAAAUGCUUCACACAUUUGAAAUGUCUGUUUUUAGGACUUUGAAGUGGGCAAAAUGUAUAAGAAGAAAAUCGUCCUGACGAACACCAGCCACGUGACUAACUACUGCAAGCUGCUCGGGCUGUCUGCGCAGCUGAAGGAUUUUAUUUCUAUCAAAUUCAAGCCUCUUGGGUCUUUAGCUACUGGCAUGUCAUGUGAUCUACAGGCUGUUUUCCAGCCCAUGGUUAGUUGCUUAACUCCUCCUCUUAUUACACUUGCACCACAGGCAUUUAAACAUUUGUCAUUUUUAUCUUUCUGUUUUCUUUUUUAUCGAAUAACUCAUCAGAAUAAAUUACCAAACCAAUCAGCUGUCUGAUUUCUGCAGAUCAAUGAGGAUUUGGAAGGAGAAAUUCAGUUUGCAUCAGCAGUGGGUCCUUUCUCUGUGCCUGUCAGAUGCACCACAAUGAAAUGUGAGGUGAGGUCAUUAAAAACAAUUAGCAUGCAUGCAACUGUCUUGCCUUGCUAUUGAUUAAUAUGUACGUGAAAUAUUAAUGUGAAACUGGAGGUGGCAACUUUUCACUGCUAAUGUGCUGAUUAUUUUUCUACUGUAGCUGCAGGUUGACAGUCAGUUCAUUGAUUUUGGUUCGCACGUGGUUGGCCAGACAAUUUCACGGACGAUCACCUUGACCAACAAAGGCGCACUGGCCACGCUCUUCAGCCUGGACACCUCAACGCGCCUCAGUCCAGAAACUAGCCAUGUCCAGAUGCCAUCCCAGAUCUCUGCUAACACAUGCCAGGUCAGACAGUCAAGUUGAACAUUCCUUGAUGGUGAUGUAAAUGUCAUUAUAGCUACCGACAAAAUUAACACAGCAUGACUAAAAUGUUUAGUCAGUUCACAAUACAGAGUCAGAAGACUUAAGUCAUAUAAAUUAUUAUUUAUUGUCUUAAACUGGUGAAUGCUUGUGUUUUAUUGGCUGAUAGAAAACAAAGAGCCAAAGCACAAAUUCUGACUAUAAGAGCUCUGCAUCCGUGAAUGUUGGAGAUCUCCAACCAGAACAAGAGACUCAGCCGCUCUCUGAAGAGUUAGAGCACCAGCAGCCAGGUAAAGCUUUAAUACGUAUGCAGAGUAAUCAUUUAAUGUCAUUUUUCACCCCGCAGAGCACCGCUGUGUCUAAAUGCAGCCUCACAGAGCCACUUGUGUCGAACGUUAGUGCUGUCUGUGCAGAAUACUUGUAUUUCAGCAAGAUUUAUAGGUCACAUUGUUUCCUAAAACAGAAAUAC